AAACAAACAAGCAAACAAGGAAACAACUAAAAAUAUAUCUCCCAGUCUGUGCUUAUCAGAUCUGUGCUAAGGAACUCCUUCAAUUCUUAACUAAGCUUGCACAGAGCCAAAGGAGAAACCUGAGGCUACAAGCCUGUACAGAAUGUUAUGACACUGUAUACUGGAGGCAACUCUAACACAAUGUACAUGAAUCACUCCUACUAAGAGAUCCUGAAAGAGGUCAUCAAAGCCACCAGAAACUAUUCCUGGACAGAGGAGGUUUUAUAGGUGUGGUUGGUCUCCUUACUGACGUGUCAACUACAAAUGCACAGGGUUCUGCCUGAAAUGUUUUAGUUGUUGCAGAUGUGUAGCUUCUAUAUGUAAAGUCUUCACUGCACGUGCUACAGAAACUUGAACUAUCUGAAGAGAGGAUGGAGUCAUCAGAUACUGGGGUAAUCUAAAAACCAAAAUAAAUGCCUUGAGAUCUUUUCUGGGAAUGAAAAAAUACAAAGACAAGCUAAGAAGCUGGAGCAGGAAAUUGACUUCAAACUCUGCUUGGAGAAUCACCAGCUGCAAAACUGUAUGGGGCAAAUUUCUCAUAAGAGUAUAGAGGAUGUGACACUGUACAGAGUUCACACUCAUGACUCAAUGAUGAAAUGGAAACCAGGAAGACCUGAUUAUGCAUGUCUGUGAAACUCACCCAUGCCAUCUGGAAAGGAAAAAGUUAAGUUGCAUUUCUGCAAUACAUUCUCUCCCUUCCCUGAGCUGCUCCUGGAAUAUAAAGAAAGCAAGGAAAUAUUUACUGGGCCUUCAGCUUUCUGUACUACUUCGGAACAGCACUAGCAUCUAUCUCAGGGUUUAAAAUAUGGAAGUUCUUGCCUUCCUUGAAUCUUUUCUCCCAGAAAUAACAUAUUGGCUCUCUUCCCUGUGACAUGCCUCAUCUGACAUUGGCUGGCUUUCAUAUAAAACCUUUGUUUUAGCCUACUAUCAAUUCAACUUUUACAUUGACAAAACGUAAUUUUUGGUUGUCAAUGUAAAAGUUGACAUUUUUACAUUCAACUUUAAUUUAAAUGCUGAAUUUAAAUUUAAAUGCUGAAAAUUUAUUUAAACACUUAAAAUGAUAUUAGAAGAGGUAUUUUAUGUUUUUAAACAGAGAUAUAUUUCAUUUUUAUAUGCAGUCAACAGAUCACAUGUGUAUGUCUCUUAUGUGUUCCUGUGUGGGAAUAGCUUGAAUUACUACAUAAGUUCUCUGAGAAUAUUAAGUUCAUUUAGGGGAACAGGACAUAUCUAUAUGAAAAACAGAAAUAAUACUACAAACAAAAGAGAGAUCACGAGAUAACAUGUAAUUAAUUCUCAGUGAAUGACAUGUCAUGAAAUCAUCAGAAGAGAUGAGGAUAUGGGAAAAGCUUUAUGAAAGUAGUCAGAACCAUAAGGAAGAUUCGGUUUUGUUAAACAGAAAGACCUUUUUCCAUUGUGGUAUUAAGUUUAAUAUGAUUUUCAUUGUAUUAAAAUACUAAUGCAGUAAGUUGAAAAUAUAAUUGCAUUCUUUUCAUUUAAUCUAUUGUAAAAUAUAUAAUCAAAAUGAUAUACUUGUAAAAUAAUUACAUAUAUAAUAAAAUCAAUAUACCUGUAAAAGAAUCA
rnacentral:lncRNA from 10 species